GCGGAGCAGCUAGUCGAGAAUCUACAACUUGUCGCCUCUGACACGGUUAAAUUCACCAGGGUUUAGCUGUGAGUAGCAGCCUGCUGGAUGAAAAAUGACAACAGGCUAUUCUUAGAUGGAAACGGUCCCUAUUUGUGGCAGUUGAUGUCUUUCUGCAGAAACGGAGCAGGUCAGGGGCCUCGAUUUCAACUCUUUAGCCAAACUCCAGGAAUCAGAAUUUCCAAACGCGGAUGGAAAAAGUUACAUAUAGAGAAGCGUCUUUAGAGUCGGAGGUGAAGAAGUUUGGAGACAGUUAAUAGAAUCGACAGAUGUUGUCCAGACAUUUUAACACAAUAGAGAGAGACAGGAAACACAGGGGAUGACACGACUGCAAAUGAUCCGGCUGGAUGGAUUCGAUCUGCAGACUUGCUGCUUGGGGCAUUAUCGCUCACGUGGCCUGUGGUGUCCAAACCACUCGGAUAUCUGGUCGCCCUUCAUGGUCCAGUUCUGACACUCAGGGGCCAACCGUAGGGGAUUUGUGCGGUGGACACGGGUCACCAUGGGAACUCUGACUGCGGUGAAGCUAUGAAGACCCAUAUACACGGUGUGGAUCUAUCCUUCUAUGUGUGAUAGACUGGCGACCUGUCCAGGAUGAACCCUGCCCUCACCUUGAAUCAGCUGGGAUAGACCCCAGCUCCCAGUAACCCUACAGAGGAUCAAGUGGUGUAUAAAAGAUGGAUGAAUGGACUACAAGAUGAAUUGCCAGCACUGUACAGACACUCAUGGUUCACAGAAGAUGGAUUCUAAUGACUUCAGUGGUCCCCUGACUUCUCCAAGGCACAACCAUUCAGUGAGACAUUGAACUUGUACUGUAUUUUCACAUUUUCAUCAACCAGAAACACUAAUGACAUUCUCAACCUCCUUAGGUUAACAUGAUACACAUAGCUAUUUAAACUCAACAUAUUACUUGUUAUUUUUUUACUUUCAACCACUUCUGUCACUUUUAGGCAACAAAUUACAACUCAACUGAGAUUAGGCUUGAUGGUUAAAGCUGGAGUAGGCAGUGUUUUUCUUUUUCUUUUUGCCAACAUUAGGCAAAUAUUCCAUAAAAAACUUUUCUUUUAAGCACAAUUGUGGCCUACAGUUGGGUACACUAUUCAUCGUGGCAUAUCUGUAUACAUGGAAUGUGUGCUGAAUCUUAAUUGUGUGUUUAUAUUUAUUCUUGUUGUAUUUUUGUGCUGUUCUCUAGUUUCUCAUUAUGCUUCAUUUGUAUCUGACUGCUGUAACAUUUCCAAGUCUUAGCUAAGUUUGUAUGUUUUUUGUUAGGGUUAGUAAAGAAAUAUUGCUUUAUAUGACCCCAGCUGAAUAAGAAUCUGGAAAAAUCAUGUUGUUUUAACUAAAGUUCACAAUAACAACA